rnacentral:lncRNA from 1 species
CCUGCUCCAGUGAAGCUGGGAAGGAGGCCCUGUCCGGGUCAGGAAGGUGGAGUUGAGACGCAGUCGCCUGGUGAGCUCCCACGGCUACUACAGGAGCAGAGCACGGGGUCACCUAGUUUCUCUUCUUUUUCUUUUUGCCUCACCCAGCAGCUACCUUCAGUUUUUCCUCGCCUAAAGUUAACAUUGCCACCGGUAGAUAUGGAUGUGACUCCAUAGAUAAACUGCAUUGUUGCCACUUCCACACACUGCCCCUACCAAACCCAGGAAAAAGAAAUCAAAGUAAAAUCUAAGGAAGUCAAGAACCCAGGGCAUCACUGUCGGUGAAUAAGUUCUAGAAUCUUCAGCCUCCAUCUGCACCCCAUUCCUUAGCCCAACAGGGUGGCUUACUUAAGCAGACCACAGUUAUGGGAACAGUUUUGCUUUUAAAUGAGAAUGUUUCUUUGGGACGCAGUUGCUCUUUAAGCGCUCAUCCUCCCCACAUAGCAGUGCCACCUCCCGCUCCCUGGUCAGGCAGAUCUCUCUAUAACCGUGCCCAUGCCAGGACAGCAUGAAGCAGAUCUCUGUUUGCCCUUGGCCUUGGGUAUAGCUGCUAGUGGUUCAGCAGGACCCACAAGGCCACUGAAGGUCAGUUAGAAUGUGGCAUGUUCUGCAGGCAGAGGCUAUGCCCCUGAUCAUGGCCAGCAGCUUCCCCAGGGUUUGAAACAGGAUUCAAGGGAAUCCAGGCCCAAGGACUGUGGAUGACUCCAUAUGCCCAUCUCCAGGAAGCCCAACUCCAAAACUCACAAGGUUCUUCCCCCUAGGAAAGGCACCCUUCCAUAAGAACAAGAGUCUCCUGGAAAUAGCAUUUUGUUUCAUCCUAGGGCAGCACUAGAGAAUCGCUUUAGCCUCAUCAAGGACAAUGCCUCCUGGGGCCAGAGGAGAGGUGGGCCAGAGAGGGCAAGGAGCUUGCCUAGGGUCACACUGCAUGUCAGGGUCAGGGAUCAGGUGGACCCAGCCCUGUGCUCCUUCCUCUGCAUCUCUGCCUCACCAAGAAGGGACUGUGAAUUCGUCCCUACCCAAGGAUGCUGUCCACAUCCUGGAGCCAAAGCUUGGUACCCUUUGCCUGUUGCAGGACAAGACAAGAAAGAAUGGUCCCGAGAGCUGCAUUUCCUGCAGCAGAGCAGGGUCAGGCUACCCUAAAGAGCUGGUGAUGAGACAAAUCACCAAUGAAUAUCCACAUAUAAGCAACUGUGGUCACAAGUAACACUAACGGCAACAGCAAAUCUAGCAGAAAGGGAGGAGGGUGAGGGAGUAUGUCCUGAAAGAUGCCAGCUCUGACCAGCUUUGCCUGGAGAAGUGACUGGGGAGCUUUGCCAAGGGGCCCCCCCAGAACCCUUGCACCCUCCCAGUGCACCUCUCCCUGGCUAGUCCUGGGCUGGCAGAUAAAACGCAGCCAAGUGGCCUGGGAGCCAGAGCUGAAUGGCAGGAAAGGCCAAGGCCAGGGUGGCCUCUCGCCUACCCACCCAUCCUGGUGAUUCAAAGCCAGGCUGAGGCCGGACAAAGCACUUGAAAAUGUCAGUCAGGGGACAAUCUCUUUCCCAAACUCCUUGCCUGUGACCUUGGGCAUCCAGCUUUUACUCAGGAUGGCUGAUCUUUUCCCCAGCUCUGCGCAUUCCAUCCCCUGCCCCUUCCCACAUAGCACUCACAGCAUACACCACACACACACACACACACACACACACACACACACACACACACACCCUAAGGUGGCAACUGGGCUUUCCACUCUGUAAUCACAGAAUUACAGGGCGGUUGCUAGUUUGUGGGGGCCAAAAGAUGGCCUACAUAGCAGAUCACACCUUCAGGCCCUAGACAGUCAAAACCAACGCUCUUAGGAACAUUUAAAAUGAUGAAAGCGGCUACACGUGGUGGCUCAUGUCUGUAAUCCCAGCGCGCUGGGAAGCCAUGAGGGAAGGAUCGCUUGUGGCCAGGUGUUUGAGACCAGCCUGAG